rnacentral:sRNA from 1 species
UGCAUCUGCAGCCCAUGAGGAUGAGAACCUCCGGGGGCAGGGAGGUUCGACUCGAGCGAAGCGAGAGAACGUUGCGCCAGCAACGGCCCGCAGGGCGAGCCACGAAGUGGCGAGUAAUCCUCUAUCACCG